UACGAAGGGGGCUAGCGUUGUUCGGAAUUACUGGGCGUAAAGCGCGCGCAGGCGGCCAUUCAAGUCAGGGGUGAAAGCCCAGAGCUCAACUCUGGAACUGCCCUUGAAACUGUAUGGCUUGAGUAUGAGAGAGGUGAGUGGAAUUCCCAGUGUAGAGGUGAAAUUCGUAGAUAUUGGGAAGAACACCGGUGGCGAAGGCGACUCACUGGCUCAUUACUGACGCUCAGGCGCGACAGCGUGGGGAUCAAACAGG
rnacentral:rRNA from 1 species